AGUGGCGGACGGGUGAGUAACACGUAAGAAUUUGCCUUUAGGAGGGGGACAACAACUGGAAACGGUUGCUAAUACCCCAUAUGCUUUCGAGUGAAAUGGAUUUUUCCGCCUAAAGAGAAGCUUGCGGCUGAUUAGCUUGUUGGUGAGGUAAUGGCUCACCAAGGCGACGAUCAGUAUCUGGUUUGAGAGGAUGAUCAGACACACUGGAACUGAGACACGGUCCAGACUCCUACGGGAGGCAGCAGUGGGGAAUUUUCCGCAAUGGGCGAAAGCCUGACGGAGCAAUCUCGCGUGAGGGAUGACGGCCUAUGGGUUGUAAACCUCUUUUUUCAGGGAGGAACAAAAUGACGUGUACCUGAAGAAUAAGCAUCGGCUAACUCCGUGCCAGCAGCCGCGGUAAGACGGAGGAUGCAAGUGUUAUCCGGAAUCACUGGGCGUAAAGCGUCUGUAGGUGGUUUAAUAAGUCAACUGUUAAAUCUUGAAGCUCAACUUCAAAAUCGCAGUCGAAACUAUUAGACUAGAGUAUAGUAGGGGUAAAGGGAAUUUCCAGUGGAGCGGUGAAAUGCGUAGAUAUUGGAAAGAACACCGAUGGCGAAGGCACUUUACUGGGCUAUUACUGACACUCAGAGACGAAAGCUAAGGUAGCAAAUGGGAUUAGAUACCCCAGUAGUCCUAGCCGUAAACAAUGGAUACUAGAUGU
rnacentral:rRNA from 1 species